GAGGAAUAUUGGACAAUGGGUGGAAGCCUGAUCCAGCCAUCCCGCGUGAAGGAUGACGGCCCUAUGGGUUGUAAACUUCUUUUGUAUAGGGAUAAACCUACUCUCGUGAGAGUAGCUGAAGGUACUAUACGAAUAAGCACCGGCUAACUCCGUGCCAGCAGCCGCGGUAAUACGGAGGGUGCAAGCGUUAUCCGGAUUUAUUGGGUUUAAAGGGUCCGUAGGCGGAUCUGUAAGUCAGUGGUGAAAUCUCGCAGCUUAACUGUGAAACUGCCAUUGAUACUGCAGGUCUCGAGUGUUGUUGAAGUAGCUGGAAUAAGUAGUGUAGCGGUGAAACGCAUAGAUAUUACUUAGAACACCAAUUGCGAAGGCAGGUUACUAAGCAACAACUGACGCUGAUGGACGAAAGCGUGGGGAGCGAAC
rnacentral:rRNA from 1 species